rnacentral:lncRNA from 1 species
AUCCCACUUCACUAUUACUGGACCAUUUGGUUUUUAAAUGCCAAGCAUACAUAUGUACAUAUGCACAGAUUAACUUAAAGCCUCACUAUAAACAAAUCCUAAUUCAGUUUUUAGAGCUUUCACUUAGAAAUGUUUUUAUUAUUUAUUUGUUUGGUUUUCAGGAUAGAAUCUAUCAUGGUUAUGUUUUGGCAGCAUUUGACAUGAUCUGUUUUUUCCUUAAGUUGCAGAUGCUGUCUUCUGGAAAUGAACUCUCUUGCUAUCAUCUCCUGUUAUUCCUCUGCAACUGUAUCUCCAAAGAGAGUCAUCCUGAUAAAUGGAACUCCGAGACACUGCUGGAUUAAAAAUAAAUUACAAUGGUAAAAUUGGAGGAAUUAUGAA